AUUGAACGCUGGCGGCAGGCUUAACACAUGCAAGUCGAGCGGGGAAGGGUAGCUUGCUACCUGACCUAGCGGCGGACGGGUGAGUAAUGCUUAGGAAUCUGCCUAUUAGUGGGGGACAACAUUCCGAAAGGAAUGCUAAUACCGCAUACGCCCUACGGGGGAAAGCAGGGGAUCUUCGGACCUUGCGCUAAUAGAUGAGCCUAAGUCAGAUUAGCUAGUUGGUGGGGUAAAGGCCUACCAAGGCGACGAUCUGUAGCGGGUCUGAGAGGAUGAUCCGCCACACUGGGACUGAGACACGGCCCAGACUCCUACGGGAGGCAGCAGUGGGGAAUAUUGGACAAUGGGCGAAAGCCUGAUCCAGCCAUGCCGCGUGUGUGAAGAAGGCCUUUUGGUUGUAAAGCACUUUAAGCGAGGAGGAGGCUACUUGGAUUAAUACUCUAGGAUAGUGGAC
rnacentral:rRNA from 1 species